ensembl:lncRNA
AUAAUAUAUUGUGAUCUUAACAUUGGUAUUGUGUCUGACAUUGAGAAUAAGAUGGAUGUAUAUACCCUGAAUUUUAAAAUGUUCUAUGUAAAUCAUAUUUAUUUGGAAUAUACCAUCCUUCUUUUGGUGAAUGCACUUGGAAAGGUUGACAGGCGCUGAAUUUUUUAUUUUUUUUUAUUUUUUUUUAUUUUUUUUUGCAGCUGCAAAUGAACCACAGAACGGUACAGCUUGGUCACCGAAACUCAAGAAUCUAAUUGCUCAGUGAGACAAAAUUACACUCAGAUCUGUUUCACUUAUGGGGGCCUUUGAUUUGGGAAUGAUUAGUGGUUUUUGCAUGUGGGUUGAUGCCAGAUAUGGAACUGGUUUCAUGAAUGAAUGUGUGAUAGCAUUCAGUUUUUUUAUGAUACAAUAUAGAAUAGCAUGUUCUAUAUUGAGGGGGAUUGUGAAUGCAGGCAGAAUGCAGUUAUGGGUUUGAUGUGCAAUUUCCAUGUUUGUUACCAAUAUUUUUAGACCGUGAUGUUUGUAGGCCGAGAUCAAAAGUUUAUUUAGAUUAUGGUCAUAGAAAAAUACAUUAUACAGCCUUUAGACCAUCAAGAAACCAUAAAUCAAUGUGCAUUUUAUCUUAAAUUUUUCCAUGUGUCAUAUUCACAGGAAGAGAGACUUGUAUACACACAAUGGGCUUCAGAAGUCAGAGACUACAUUGAAAACCCAUGCCAGACUUUUAAAGGAUGCUGUACAGGCGGACCACAGGAGCCAGUGUGAAUCAAAGCGACUAUAGCCAAUGGCAACGGUUCAUGUGCAGACAGGUGAAAAAGAUACUUCUGUAGGUCAGCACAAGGUCAUCAAGCAGAAGACAGAUAAGUGACUCUGCAUGAGGUAAUACCACAUCAACCACACACACCUAUUUGGCCUGGCAAAGGGAGCUCUUUGUUAGUACAGAGAAGUGCUGAUGGCUUCUGUCCCCCUCUGGUAGGGUCACAGGGGCCCUUUUCUGAAACAAAAUAGGCCAUGCACCUGCCAAAGAGCCAACAUCAUCAAAUAUUGAUCUAUAUUUACACUACUAGUUAAAGGUUUGGACGCACUGAAUGAAUUUGUUUUAUAUGAUUUUAAAACAUUUGACAUUUUUCAUAUAUGCUUGAAAUUAGAUUUGUAGACAUAAAUUGUGCCUAUGUAUUUCUAUGCAAAUUUAGAAUUUGAUUUUAUUUUUGAAUUUUAAUUUUAUUUUAAGUAUAAUUUGCAUGUCUAUUUUAUUUUAUUUUAUUUUUUAAAAUUUAAUUUAAUCUUUAAAUUAAUUAAAAUUUUAUGAGUCCCUUUGAACUUCCAGUUUUAUUUAUUAGUUUUAAUGACUUUCUAUAAAAUGUGGAGAGAAAAAAAAUGGGUAUGUGCGUGUCUGGUAGUGUAUAUGCCAACAUAACAUUUUAUUAUUUCUCUUUGCAGUCAUUCUCAGAGUCCUAUCCUAUUUCCAUCUGAAAUUAAUGACCACAUUAUUCGGGUCUCUCUGUUACUCAUCACCCAUAAUUCCCUGCUGUGACCUCUACGACCCUCACCUCCUCUUGUGUCUGUCCUCUUUUCCUCCUCAUCCUCUUUUCUAGCAGCAUUCACCUCUGAAUGACUCGAAGCUCUGGCAGGGUGACAGCCCCUGUCUGUCUCUCCAGGACCAACUUGAACCAACACCAGUCUAAUCUCUGGGAUCACCUUUCUUCCAUGGGGACACAAGUGUGGAUCAGUGGGACAGAGCUCCAGGAAUCUCCUCUUUUAAUUU